rnacentral:rRNA from 1 species
GAUGAACGCUGGCGGCGUGCCUAAUACAUGCAAGUCGAGCGAACGGACGAGAAGCUUGCUUCUCUGAUGUUAGCGGCGGACGGGUGGGUAACACGUGGAUAACCUACCUAUAAGACUGGGAUAACUUCGGGAAACCGGAGCUAAUACCGGAUGAUAUUUUGAACCGCAUGGUUCAAAAGUGAAAGACGGUCUUGCUGUCACUUAUAGAUGGAUCCGCGCUGCAUUAGCUAGUUGGUAAGGUAACGGCUUACCAAGGCAACGAUGCAUUGCCGACCUGAGAGGGUGAUCGGCCACACUGGAACUGAGACACGGUCCAGACUCCUACGGGAGGCAGCAGUAGGGAAUCUUCCGCAAUGGGCGAAAGCCUGACGGAGCAACGCCGCGUGAGUGAUGAAGGUCUUCGGAUCGUAAAACUCUGUUAUUAGGGAAGAACAUAUGUGUAAGUAACUGUGCACAUCUUGACGGUACCUAAUCAGAAAGCCACGGCUAACUACGUG